GCCUUCUGCGGCCUCAAGGUCUGGCGUGGACUUCCGGGUCAGCUGCGGGUGCAGGCCGGGCAGCGAGACCUGGCGCCACCAGAAGGCGCCACCUGGCGGCUUCUCGGUGCAUUGCAGAGCCUUCGGAUCUGGCGGUGUAGGCUUCCACAGUUUGCUUAACCUCUCUGGCCUGGAACUGCCUUAUCUGUGUAGUAGGGACUGCAAAACGCCUUUCCGGGACUGAAUGAGAGAAUGAUGGUCCAGUGCAUGAACUCAGCAGGAAGGGAAGACCAUGUAGCAGCUGUACAUUUGAGUUGUCUCUGGAAUUCGGUGUUUAUGAAUAAAGUCGUCUGAGUAUUCCUGCUAAAAGUUUUGUGUGAAUAAAGACUUUUCACUUGAGAAAACGCCUAGGAGGGCAAUUGUGGGGUCACGGGUAAGUGUAUGUCUGUGUGAACCACUAAACUGUUUUUCACAGUGCGCCCUUACUAGAAGGCACUCCUUGUCCUGGACCCUGGCACACACCAGCAAGACACAGGCCCUGCUUCACCCACACUAUAUUUUGGAGAUGGAAACAAAAGUAAAAAGGACUAAGAAAUAAGAUUGUUUUGUACAGUAUAGGAGUGAUGAUAGGUUAGAAGA